GUGCUCGCUUUGGCAGCAUGUAUACUAAAAUUGGAACGAUACUGAGAUUAGUAUGGCCCCUGCAAAAGGAUGGCAUGCAAACUCGUGAAGCAUUUCAUAUUUUC
rfam:Tupaia chinensis contig13423, whole genome shotgun sequence.